CCGAGCCUCCAGCCUCGGGAACGGGCGAGGGCCGGCCAGCGGGGCAAAAAGACCCUUUUGAGCUUGACUCCAGCCCGGGCCUGUGGGGCGGGGCGGCCGGCGCAGCGCACAGGGGAGGCCGCGCCGA
rnacentral:rRNA from 1 species